UUCUAUUAGAAAAUAUUAGAAAACAAGCCAACCUAUUCUUCUAAUGACGAUUUCCACUUUUGCAGGUUGUUGGGAAUAUAUCAGAUGCUGUACAAUAUCACCAAACAGUACGUGGAAGAACUGAAGCACUUUGCUGGCUGUGAGAAGGAAGAGCAGCAGUUGAUGGCCAUCAUGUCCCAGAUCCAGACAGCCCUGCAGGCAGCAGGAGAAAGGCUGGAGGGCAGUCCUGCCCUGCUGAGUUAUCCAGGUGAACAUCUUUUCUUGUGUGGCUCCUACACCAAAAGUGCUCAAAUGUGGAAGAUACAGAUCUGCGAAGAAAGUAACAAAAAUUGCGAUCGAAGUGUGUAUCAGGAGAAACGGCUUUGUCUGGCGCUCCUCUAUAGUCUUUUGUCGCAGUACCAGCUAAAGGAAGCACAGGAGUUGGGGGACCACAUGGCCCAGCUGGUACUGAACAGGGCUGGACACCACAAGGACCGCUUCACAGGUCAACC
rnacentral:lncRNA from 1 species